rnacentral:rRNA from 1 species
UUGACCUCAAAUCAGGUAGGACUACCCGCUGAACUUAAGCAUAUCAAUAAGCGGAGGAAAAGAAACUAACAAGGAUUCCCCUAGUAACUGCGAGUGAAGCGGGAAGAGCUCAAAUUUGAAAUCUGGCAGCUCUUUGAACUGUCCGAGUUGUAAUCUAGAGAAGUGUUACCUGUGUUGGACCGUGUUCAAGUCUCCUGGGAUGGAGCGUCAUAGAGGGUGAGAAUCCCGUCUUUGACACGGACUACCUGCACGUUAUGGUGCGCUCUCAAAGAGUCGAGUUGUUUGGGAAUGCAGCUCAAAAUGGGUGGUAAAUGCCAUCUAAAGCUAAAUAUUGGCGAGAGACCGAUAGCGAACAAGUACCGUGAGGGAAAGAUGAAAAGAACUUUGGAAAGAGAGUUAAACAGUACGUGAAAUUGCUGAAAGGGAAACGCUUGAAGUCAGUCGCGUCGGCUAGAAAUCAACCUUGCUUUUGCUUGGUGUACUUUCUUGUUGAUGGGUCAGCAUCAAUUUUGACCGUUGGAUAAAGUCUUUGGGAAUGUGGCAUCUUAGGAUGUGUUAUAGCCCAUUGUCGCAUACGGCGGUUGGGAUUGAGGAACUCAGCACGCCCGCAAGGGACGGGUUUCGACCACGUUCGUGCUUAGGAUGCUGGCAUAAUGGCUUUAAUCGACCCGUC